rnacentral:rRNA from 1 species
UACGUAGGGUGCGAGCGUUAAUCGGAAUUACUGGGCGUAAAGCGUGCGCAGGCGGUUCGUUGUGUCGGCGGUGAAAGCCCCGGGCUUAACCUGGGAAUGGCCGUUGAAACUGGCGAACUGGAGUGUGGCAGAGGGGGGUGGAAUUCCGCGUGUAGCAGUGAAAUGCGUAGAGAUGCGGAGGAACACCGAUGGCGAAGGCAGCCCCCUGGGCUGACACUGACGCUCAGGCACGAAAGCGUGGGGAGCGAACAGG